UCUGUCUGAACUGCUGUCUAGACUUUGACACACUGGGAUGGAUGAACUUUGACCUCCUGCUGGACCAAGCAGAGAUGAGCGCCAUCGACCUGGACAAGUAUGAGCUGUGCACGAAGCCUCUCUUCCAACUCCUCUCCUGCAAUACCUUCAAGGACGGCAAGCUGUCUUACAGCGAGUGGUGUUACUGCUUCCAACAACCUGGGGGUGAGGGAGGGAGGAGAGUUUUCCAGAGCCUGAUGGAGUCUGACAGAGACAAUGAGGCAGUUGUUGAGGAUUAAAAGAUCCACCGGAGAAAGUGAAUUGGACAUGUUGGAGCGGAAAAUUUAACUUGCACUCAUUUCAGCAACCCAAAAAAAGGUCCAGAAAUAGGACAUAGUUGCAGCGGACAUUCUCUGCAGGAGUUUAAGAGACAGUGAUGAAAAUGUUUGACCUGUCAAAGUAAGAAAAAAUACGAUCCCGACGCAGUGGAAGGAUGCCCUCAGAUGAGGAGCAGGAGGCUCCAGGGGACCGAGAGUCUUAAGAGAAUGAACGAGUUCAAACUGUAAAAGGCGGCAGAACCAGAUCCACCUGAGGAGCUAAUGAGGACAUGGAGGAAGUCGUUCUGGAGGAGCUGUCUUGUGCAUUAACAGCCAGAAAUCAAAGUCAUAACAAACAUGAGGGGGCGAAAGUAUAUAAAUUAUAAAUUAUCAAGAUUAGAACCUACACUUAAUGUUUUCCCAAAGGUCUCUGGAUUGAGCCAUGUGCACCACUAACUUUCAACCAAGUCAGAAACUGCUGUCUCUCUCUCCACCUCUCAACCCUGCUGAAAUAUAUGGAAUUAACUUUCUCUUCCCCGGCACUUUUAUCUAUUUGUCCAUUUAUUUCCCCUCCUCCUGUCUUUGCCUCCUGUCUUUGCCACUGUGUCUUGGUCGGAUCCUCUGGUCUCAGUCCGUGACGCCAGAAAUAAAAGGUUUAGCCCCCACUCGUAUGGUAAUAAAUGUUUCAUGUUCCUUUCAGGAAGGCCACAUUCAGGUAAACGCCUCCUAUCAGGUUUUCUUCUGUAUUUCACAAAUAGGCUCUUCUGUAGGUUUUGCAGCUUUAACUGUUUGUUGUAUUGGGGACCUUGAAAGGCAGAGAAAGUCAAAUCAACAUAAUAUAUCAGCAUACGUGUUUUAUAUUUGAAUGUUCAGAUUAAAUUGUAGAACACAAUACAAAAACAGUUUAUCUUGGUGAUGACCGUGCUGUUUAUUUUUGGCUGCUUCUGUCUUCCGCUGCUGUUUCAAGGCUGCAAAUGAUUACAUUUUAAACUCUUGUCUCUCCCACCAAUUGAGGCUCCUUCCUGAUGAUCUUCAGUCUCUGCUCUUCAGUCUGUCGUAACCUCCAACCAGGUAUCACUCUGUUACAAGGCACUAGUUUUUCACGGGCUCGAUUCCAUCAAUUCCUCUCCAUGUUUGAAUGUGAGGCACUGAUUCAGUAAUUUAAGAGACAAAUGCGUUUAUAUCGCCUCCUUUUCUCAGAGUUUCACAUUCAACCUUGUCAUCCUGUCGUCAGGGAAAUACCAGGUCCUGCUGACCACUGUCUUUCUCAAUUGGUCCUGACUGAGGCUACCUGGGACACACACUUGUCCAUGUGUCCAACCAUUAUCUAUAGUGCUUAUCCUUUGAGCCAAUCCCCACUGACACUGGGCGAGAGGGGGCGUACACCGUCAGUGUAUCGC